rnacentral:misc_RNA from 1 species
GAUGAAGAACGCAGCGAAAUGCGAUAAGUAAUGUGAAUUGCAGAAUUCAGUGAAUCAUCGAAUCUUUGAACGCACAUUGCGCCCAUUAGCAUUCUAGUGGGCAUGCCUGUUCGAGCGUCAUUUCAACCCUUAAGCCCUGUUGCUUAGCGUUGGGAGCCUACAGUACUGUAGCUCCCCAAAGUUAGUGGCGGAGUCGGUUUCACACUCUAGACGUAGUAAUUUUUUCUCGUCUGUAGUUGAGCCGGUCCCCUGCCGUAAAACACCCAAUUUAUCAAGGUUGACCUCGGAUCAGGCAGGAAUACCCGCUGAACUUAAGCAUAUCAAUAAGCGGAGGA